UAGAAUAUUGUUCCAUCCAUCUCUCGUGUUCUAAGAAAUAUAUAUCCUCUUGAAAGAAUAAGUAGCAACUCUGUAGCCUCUUUUCCCACAAUCUCCUUCUCCAAAUUAGUCCUGCAGAAGAAGAUCAUCAUGAGGGGCUUAAAGACGAGAACAACACCAAUUUUGUCCAAGUUCACGCCUUUGUUGGAGCCAUGGCCAAAUGAUGCUACAAGAAUGGAACUAGAAACCUGAUCAGGACAUUUGACCUGAGGAAACCUGCCCUCUAGGCAAGUCUGAUGCUUGGCUUUUCAUCCCUGCUGUUGAGAAUCAAAUAAGGCAUGGCUCAUCUCAUGAGAUUAUUUAGCAUAUUAUAUCUGUUUGAUAUUAUUAUAAGUUUUCUGUUUACCACUCCUCCUUCCUUUCCCAGCUGGGACAAUGAUAUGUUAUGUAUAUCUUUCUCUGCUCUACAGCAGCUGCAUUUGUAAUACUACUUGUAUGAAAGCUUUAUUAUACCUCAUUUUUUUUUUCCUUUCUUUUUGUUCAAUUGGAUUCUUAGUUUAUUGUAUUGAUUAUGUGCAACUGGCAUGGCCAGGUAAGAAAAAGAACAAAAAAAGCUUACUGGUUUCUCUAAAUUAAUUAAUCAAAGAUAUAUAUUAUUUGCUGGAUUUAUCAUAGCUCUUCCAAUGAGAAUAUAACCACAUGACAUGAUCCUUUCUGACUUUAUAUUAUUGAAAGUAACUGCUACUUCCCAUAUGAGAUAUUCAGUGUGUGUACACUUCUAACGGCGAGGGAUUAGUGUUUCAAUUGUACAAGCUAAAAUGAUGAUUGACUUAAAGCAAAGUAAUAAAAUGAGAACAUGUUUAGGAGAAGAAGAAAAGAAGGAAUAUAUUACUCAAGCAGCCGGCCAUGACUUAUAUGUAUAUUGGUUAAUAAUUGUCAGGUUAAAAACCAUGCUAUUCCAAUUGCAGACUCUUCAGCACGCACAGAUAUGUCAAUGAUAUAUGAAUAUAAAGCAUGUAUCAUGCAUCUACAUCUUGUUUCAGAUCUAAUGAAAUAAUGUGAUGAUUCUAAGUUUAAAGGAAAAAUUGGAUUGUUGACGGAGGACUAAACUCUCCAAACAGCUGGAAACUGGAAAUAUUAAUUCUUGUGGAUGAAAUGUAUUGAACAUUUGCCUACAAUUCGCAGCUGCAGGAAAGGCUUUUUAGUUCCAUCAGUAUCCAAUUGAUGAAGUUAGCUGCAACUAAUAUAUUGCUGUGAUAAAUGCUAUAUAGUUUUUUGACCCAG
rnacentral:lncRNA from 1 species